AGGAAGUUAGUCUAACCAAGACAGUUGGUUUCGGCCCAACAAAUUAUAGACCCACCUAUAACUUCCUC
rnacentral:tRNA from 2 species